rnacentral:lncRNA from 1 species
AUCGUCGCGUCUACUACUCAACACUAGAGUCCCUCGGCGUACUUGAGGGGCUGGUGUUUGCUGGUUUUCCCGAGGUCCUUGCGCAGGUGCGUGGGCACGCUCGUGCCCAGCGCGGGCCACACGAAUUCCUCCUCCUCCUCGGCAGGGUCAUUCGCCGUGACCUUAGCGAGGGUCUCCUUCGCCAGUGUGGCCGCCGCCUUCUCGGCUUCCCGCUCCUCGCGCUCAAGUUUCAUGGUGGUCUCGUGCGCCUUAAGCCGAUCUUCUCCGAUCUGUAGCCUGUCGAGACGGUGGCGUCGGGUGGUGGGAGGGUCAGGGUUCGCGCCCCUGGAGUGUUUUUCUUACCAAAUCGAGAAUCGUACCUCAGCUCGACCUUCAUGCCCUCCUCGGUCUGCAUGCACUGCCGCGUCGUGGACGGACGGUACAUGGUGUACGGCCAGUUAGUAGACGGCGCCAUCUUCGCGGUAAACCCCGUUAAUCUUCGUGGUAAACCCCUUCGCUGGUGCGUCGCGCCCCGUCCUCUGCGUCCAAUUUUGCGGGAAACUGAUGAGAACG